rnacentral:rRNA from 1 species
UGCAAGUCAGAUGUGAAAGCCUUCUGUUCAACGGGAGAAUUGCAUCUGAAACUGCUAAUCUUGAGUAUAGGAGGGGAGAAUGGAACUUCUGGUGGAGCGGUGAAAUGCGUAGAUAUCAGAAGGAACGCCGGCGGCGAAAGCGAUUCUCUAGCCUAUUACUGACACUCAGUGUGCGAAAGCUAGGGGAGCAAACGGGAUUAGAUACCCCGGUAGUCCUAGCCGUAAACGAUGGGCACUAAGUAGAGGGGAUUACCUAUGUUCUCUCUGCCGUAGCUAACGCAUUAAGUGCCCCGCCUGGGGAGUACGGCCGCAAGGCUAAAACUCAAAAGAAUUGACGGGGGCUCGCACAAGCGGUGGAGCGUGUGGCUUAAUUCGAUGCAACGCGAAAAACCUUACCGGGGCUUGACAUGAUAGAAGUAGGAACCUGAAAGGGGGACGAACGGUAUCCAGUCCGUAGCUAUUACAGGUGUUGCAUGGCUGUCGUCAGCUCGUGUCGUGAGACGUUGGGUUAAGACCCCUAACGAGCGAAACCCUUGUUUUUAGUUACCAGCGGGUUAUGCCGGGUACUCUAGAAAGACUGCCGUCGUCAAGACGGAGGAAGGUGGGGAUGACGUCAAGUCAUCAUGGCCCUUAUGCCCCGGGCUGCACACGUGCUACAAUGGUCGGUACAGACGGAAGCGAAG